CCUACGGGAGGCAGCAGUGCGGAAUAUUGGUCAAUGGGCGCAAGCCUGAACCAGCCAAGUCGCGUGAGUGAAGACGGCCCUACGGUUUGUAAACCUCUUUUGCCGGGGAGCAAGCCUUAGCACGUGUGCCCAGGCGGAGAGUACCCGGAUACAAAGCAUCGGCUAACUCCGUGCCAGCAGCCGCGGUAAUACGGAGGCUGCGAGCGGUAUCGGGAUUUAUUGGGUUUAAAGGGUGCUCAGGCGGGCUGUUAAGCCGGCGGUAAGAAUUCAGGGCUAAACCCUGUCGAGCCGUCGGAACUGGCAGUCUUGAGUGGGCGAGAGGUAAGCGGAAUGCGUGGUGUAGCGGUGAAAUGCAUAGAUAUCACGCAGAACGCCGAUUGCGAAGGCAGCAUACCGGCGCCCAACUGACGCUGAGGCACGAAAGCGUGGGGAUCGAACAGGAUUAGAUACCCUGGUAGUC
rnacentral:rRNA from 1 species